rnacentral:rRNA from 1 species
UACGUAGGGGGCGAGCGUUACCCGGAUUUACUGGGCGUAAAGGGCGUGCAGGCGGUUUGUUAAGUGCAGGGUGAAAGCUCCCGGCUCAACUGGGAGAGGUCCUUGCAUACUGGCAAACUCGAGGGAGGCAGAGGAAAGUGGAAUUCCCGGUGUAGUGGUGAUAUGCGUAGAUAUCGGGAGGAACACCUGUGGCGAAGGCGGCUUUCUGGGCCUUACCUGACGCUGAGACGCGAAAGCGUGGGGAGCGAACCGG